rnacentral:rRNA from 1 species
CCUACGGGUGGCUGCAGUGAGGAAUAUUGGUCAAUGGACGAGAGUCUGAACCAGCCAAGUAGCGUGAAGGAUGACUGCCCUAUGGUUUGUAAACUUCUUUUAUAUGGGAAUAAAAUGUUCCACGUGUGGGAUUUUGUAUGUACCAUAUGAAUAAGGAUCGGCUAACUCCGUGCCAGCAGCCGCGGUAAUACGGAGGAUCCGAGCGUUAUCCGGAUUUAUUGGGUUUAAAGGGAGCGUAGGUGGAUUGUUAAGUCAGUUGUGAAAGUUUGCGGCUCAACCGUAAAAUUGCAGUUGAAACUGGCAGUCUUGAGUACAGGAGAGGUGAGCGGAAUUCGUGGUGUAGCGGUGAAAUGCUUAGAUAUCACGAAGAACUCCGAUUGCGAAGGCAGUUCACUGGACUGCAACUGACACUGAGGCUCGAAAGUGUGGGUAUCAAACAGGAUUAGAUACCCGGGUAGUC